AGUGAACGCUGGCGGUAGGCCUAACACAUGCAAGUCGAACGGCAGCACAGUAAGAGCUUGCUCUUACGGGUGGCGAGUGGCGGACGGGUGAGGAAUACAUCGGAAUCUACUUUUUCGUGGGGGAUAACGUAGGGAAACUUACGCUAAUACCACAUACGACCUACGGGUGAAAGCAGGGGAUCUUCGGACCUUGCGCGAUUGAAUGAGCCGAUGUCGGAUUAGCUAGUUGGCGGGGUAAAGGCCCACCAAGGCGACGAUCCGUAGCUGGUCUGAGAGGAUGAUCAGCCACACUGGAACUGAGACACGGUCCAGACUCCUACGGGAGGCAGCAAUGGGGAAUAUUGGACAAUGGGCGCAAGCCUGAUCCAGCCAUACCGCGUGGGUGAAGAAGGCCUUCGGGUUGUAAAGCCCUUUUGUUGGGAAAGAAAAGCAGCAGGUUAAUACCCCGCUGUUCUGACGGUACCCAAAGAAUAAGCACCGGCUAACUUCGUG
rnacentral:rRNA from 1 species